UGCAGACUCUGAAACUGGCGCUACUGGGCUGAGGAGGAGGCAGGGGAGUUGCAGCUAGCGCGGCUCGGUGAGUGUGUCUCCUGAGCGCGGAGAGGCGGGGGGGAGGCGGAGGACGAGGAGGAGGAGGAGGAGGGGGAGAAUGCCCGGAGCCGCCGCCGCUGCCGCCGCCGCCGCGAUGCUCCCGGCUCAGGAGGCUGCCAAGCUGUACCACACCAACUAUGUGCGGAACUCGCGGGCCAUCGGCGUGCUGUGGGCCAUCUUCACCAUCUGCUUUGCCAUCGUCAACGUGGUGUGCUUCAUCCAGCCCUACUGGAUCGGCGACGGCGUGGACACCCCGCAAGCUGGCUAUUUCGGGCUCUUCCACUACUGCAUCGGCAACGGCUUCUCCCGGGAGCUGACCUGCAGGGGCAGCUUCACGGACUUCUCCACGCUGCCCUCGGGCGCCUUCAAAGCCGCCUCCUUUUUCAUCGGCCUCUCCAUGAUGCUCAUCAUUGCCUGCAUCAUUUGCUUUACCCUCUUCUUCUUCUGCAACACGGCUACGGUGUACAAGAUCUGUGCCUGGAUGCAGCUCACCUCCGCUGCCUGCCUUGUGCUUGGCUGUAUGAUUUUCCCUGAUGGCUGGGAUUCAGAUGAAGUAAAACGGAUGUGUGGAGAAAAGACAGACAAGUACACUCUUGGGGCUUGUUCAGUCCGCUGGGCCUACAUCCUGGCUAUCAUUGGGAUUUUGGAUGCCCUCAUCCUCUCGUUUCUGGCAUUCGUGCUUGGUAACCGACAAGACAGCUUGAUGGCAGAGGAACUGAAGGCAGAAAACAAAGAUGAUGGACAUGCUUAAAGCACACUAAGUUCUGCUAAGCCAAUAUUCUCUAGAAUGAGCACAAAACAAAUCAAAUAACAGCUAAAUUAAUCGAAUAACAGCUUUUGUACAUCAGCAUCGAGAAGGAAGACGCUUGGGAGAGAUCAGAGUACCGAGAUGGAUACCGGCGAGAAUGAAGCAUCCAGCUGUCAAAGCACCUACUAACCCUAGAUCGGCAGAGAUGGGAGUGAUUUUCCUGAAAGGAGAUAUGAUCACGGAGUAAACACCAGCUCACUGGAAACUAUCAUUGAAUAAGAGCAAAUGACAUUCAUGAGAAAUCACAUUCAGGAAAUAUUUUAAGGAAGAGAAAAAUAAAUGUGCUAGAAUUAACAUGUAAAAUAUAUAUGUACUGAGGUUUGUAAACUGUCCUUUUUUAAUCAAACAGAAAACAAAAAGCUUUAAUCUUUCAACAUUAUUUUAAAAAAGGCAGUGCAUCCUAAAUUAUUCCUAUCUCAAUAGCCAAGAGGCUGAUCAACCAUCAGUUAUUGAGGAAGCGUCUUAGAAAAUGCCUCUGAAUAUUUUCAUAGGAGCCAUGACUUUUGGUUCCCAUCUCUGCCGUUCAUUUAUGUCACUGUGUAAUUAGUUACAACCACUCAGUUAAGAGAUGUUAGCAUUUCAAACUUUUUACUGAGUCUUCGUUCAGUUUAAUCUGUCUGUACCAGUUAUUACUGAGAAAGUGUUUCUGACAUAUGCUAUCACUCCAUCAAGCUGUAUAUUACAGGAAGUACAUCUUUACAUCACAGGUUCCUGAGCAACAUAGACUUCCCUAUCUUUCAGGAAACAACAUCAAGAAACUCUGAAAAAUAUAGAAAGCUCAUUUUCACCUUGAAUGCUCACAUGUAAUAUAUAGGCUGCUAUCAAAUAAACACUUUUUCUAAUUGCCCCUAGUAAUAUGUAUAAGAAUUUAAUAUACUUUACAAAUAAACAUCUAAAAUAUCUUCUUUUUCUAUUUCUUUGUCAUAUCAUCAGAAAUCCAUAUCCUUUCUUUCCCUUACUUUCCCUUACUAACACCAUUCCAUUAAACCUAUUUCUAAAUGAUAGUAAGUGGCACUAACAAAAUAAAUAAUAAUUUAAUAGCCUUAGAACUAAAUGAACAUAUACUUAAUACAGGUCAAAGAAACUUGGUAGGAAUAAGUUGCCUUUUUGUUUACUAAUUUUAGUUUCAAGAACACUCUGUUUGUUGAUUGUUUGUUUUUAGCUGAUUGGCAUUUAGAAGUAGUGACAAAUGAUCAGUUGUCUUCAACAAUCUUUUGCUCCCAGGCAUCCCCCACCAUCACCCUCAUCACAUAUCCUGCAAUAUGCAGCAACAGAAAAAUAUUUAGUAUUGAAGUAGCCAAUUGCUUGAGAAUGACACAAGCUAAAAUGUACGUGCAGGAAUCAUCAGUAUAAGCCGAACCAUAUUCUAUACCUGAGCAGAAAACAUGAACAUGUAGAAUGCCUUCAUUUUUUAACUCAAAAUUAAGAUCCGUUUAGUAUAUAUUAUUGGAACAAUGGAGAGUAAUACAAGAAGAAUCAACCAAGACACAAAUCAUGGUUGAUUUCUCUUAUCCUGUCUCACACUCUAGUUUUGUCAAUGUCUCUGGUAUUAGCAUCUUUUCACCCCAGAUGAGUUUUAUGUUUCAAAUGGCUAAAAAGUAUAUUACAGAUACAGUCAAAUAAGUGACACGCAAUUCACAAAGAUAUGGAUUUUCUAAAGAACCACAUUAGGGGAGUACUUAUUAUCUCUAAAGUAUUAGCUGUUCUGGGAGUUAUUUGUUGCUUUAAAUAUUAGCUCUCCCUCUGCAUUCAAAACACCCUACUUACUAAAUUUAAUUACACACAACUUUUCAAGAAUUCAUCUUUUAGUUAAGGGGAGGUACCGCUCUACUUUACCUAUAAUAAAAAUAGAAGGUAUUGGCUUUCUUUAAUCCGUGUAAAUUGUAGAUUCCACUGGGAGUCCUGCAACACUAAUAGUGGUGUUUAUGAAAAUGAAAAAGUGCUUCCUAUCCACAUGCAAGUGUUUUUAAGAGGUUGUUUUCCUUCUAAAAAACCUAAGUGUAAUUUAGCAUACCAUAGUGCUCUGAAGAUGGGUCAUUGAUGUGUACCAUUUGUACAUAGGUAAAACACAUGUAAAUCACUAGAUGUUAAUGAAGAGGUAUGUUUUUAUCUUUUUUAAAAAAAAGUGACUCCCUUUCUCAUUCUGUUCUGUUGUAUUGCGUCCAAAAGUUGUGUGUAAUUUUUUAAGGUCCAGGAAAUGUAAAGAAAUUUGUUGGAAUAUCUGAAUUUCUGUAAAAAAUAAAAAUAAGAUUUUGUUAUUUAAAAGGUG